rnacentral:lncRNA from 1 species
AGAGAAUGCUGCAGAGCGCGGAAUACUCAUUCGAAACGCACGAGACCAGAACUGUCCUGGAGUGAGUACCGCUGCCCCUCAAACUCAUCUCAUUCCUAAAAAGUAGUUCACGGGAUCAGAAUAGACCCGACAACAUAUACUCACACCGACAAGACAGCCGCGGAGGCCGCCAUAGUGAGGCUCAAGCCUCUCGGGGAACAGAUCUGGUGAAGAUGGAGCAGGUUGUUGUUAGAGAGUGAGAUUGACGAUUCUCGCGUCGUAGCGACUCACCUGACCGUUGCAGGAGGGUAGGAAACAGUCAUCAGGGAAGUUUUUAUUGCGGAGUGAAGGUGGGUCUGCAGGCAGGGAGCGAGGUAAUCAAGCGGGGUUUGAAGGAAAUGUUCCACCUUGUCUGCCGGAAGUUCUGACGGACCUACAAUGGGUGCUCUUAAGAUCCGCGUCUUGCGGCGCUUGACGGCAUACUCUCCCUUGAUCUUUCGCGGUUGUAUCGGCAGGAUUUCAGGGUGUGAGCUCCAGGAGGUCAGGGCCUGGUUGUUGCGUUGGUCAAGUCUAGAAAAAAUGGUUCCGGUUAGACGAGAUCGCAAAAUAGAAGGUAACGCACACUACAACUCUGCGAAGGUCUGUGCGGUGGUACGUGCAAUUUAGAUACGAGUCCUCAUCAUUGGCGUGCGGUAAGGAUUACCAUACACUUGGAUCGAGACGGCAGGUGAUUCUUGAUUCGAGUUGUUAUUAUUACUAGUUCUGUUAUUCGUAUUGCCAUUAUUAUCAUUAUCUUACUUUGCUUUAAGAGUGUGUGUGUGUGUGCGCUGACGGGGGUGGUGGUGUAUCCUGAUUCGUGAGUAUUGGAGCAGGUGGGUGAUGUGUGAGN